rnacentral:rRNA from 1 species
GACGAACGCUGGCGGCGUGCUUAACACAUGCAAGUCGAACGGAAAGGCCCUGUUUGUGUGGGGUGCUCGAGUGGCGAACGGGUAAGUAACACGUGAGUAACCUGCCCUUGACUUUGGGAUAACUUCAGGAAACUGGGGCUAAUACCGGAUAGUACCUCCUGCUGCAUGGUGGGGGUUGGAAAGUUUCGGCGGUGGGGGAUGGACUCGCGGCUUAUCAGCUUGUUGGUGGGGUAGGGGCUUACCAAGGCUUUGGCGGGUAGCCGGCCUGGGGGGGUGACCGGCCACAUUGGGACUGGGAUACGGCCCAGACUCCUACGGGAGGAAGCAGUGGGGAAUAUUGCACAAUGGGCGGAGGCCUGAUGAAGCAACGCCGCGUGCGGGAUGACGGCCUUCGGUUUGUAAACCGCUUUCGCCUGUGACGAAGCGUGAGUGACGGUAAUGGGUAAAGAAGCACCGGCUAACUACGUG